CUUUGUUCUAGAGCACACAUGCCUGAAAGCGCUAGUUAUAGCAACAGGAUUGUAAACAUUUUGUUAAACAAUUGACCACCUAAAACAUCUCCUAGCUGCCUUGGGGGUGAGCCCACCCAUUGGACGAGACACUGCAUGACGAGACACUGCGUGAGGAGACACUGAGCAGCGACAGCAGCAGGAGUGCCCGUUGAGAUGACCCAGCAGGAAGGUGAAGAUGUAUUAGCCCAUUUGAAACAAGAUUCCUGUGACAGAAAAUAAAAAGAAGCAAUCAAUAAUGUGCAAGGAUGAGUCUUCCACUAGCAGCCUUUGGAUGAAGACGUAGAACUCUCAGCUAUGCCUGCGCCAUGACAGCCUGGAUGCUGCCAUGCUCCCACCUUGAUCAUAAUGGACUGAACCUCUGAACCUGUAAGCCAGCCCCAAUUAAAUGUUGUUUUUUUAUAAGACUUGCCUUGGUCAUGGUUUCUGUUCACAGCGAUGGACAAACAGAUGGACUAUGGCUACAGCUACAUGGAAUGUCAAGGUAGAGGGGUGAGACUGUGAGCAAUGAUUAUGAAGAGACCAGCAUCACUAAGGUGAAAUCUUCUGGGAAGUGUUUUCUGGGAGCACAAAGAAGUUGUCUUCCAGAGAUAGUCAAGGUUGUACCUCGUGCUGCAGCUGGACUUGGUAAUGUGUAAUCACCAGGUGGUACUGGUUUUGAAUUCAUGAAGGUAAAACACUAACUAAGACAAGGGCCAGUCUCUCUGAAAUAUACAGAAGGUAGUGAUUCCCUGCAUUGGUUCAUAGAACUUCUUAGGUUGCUUUGCCCAUGGCUCACUGACUUGUGUUUCACUGGUCUCAUGUGGAAGGGCAGGGUGUUGCCAACACUGAAAAAGAUCACAUUCUUGGAAUGUAGUGGCUAUGGCCUAGAAUUCAGGAGAAUUUGUACAAGACAUAUUUUUCUAAAUUUAUGUUACAAAAUUGUGAACAGUACAUUUAGCAUGACCAGAAAGGAAGUCAUUUUUUCUUCACCUUAAGAUUAAGAUUAUUUGCUGAGACUCAGUGAAGCAUAGCGGGAACCACUGGGAGCCAGGCAUGGAACAAUUCUGUGAUGUAACUGAUAUUGUGUUCAUGGUAAAUAGAGCCCAGUGGAUCA
rnacentral:lncRNA from 1 species